UUCAGCGGGAAUGCCAUAAGCAGGUUCCACUAAUGAUGAGGCAGUCAUUAACGAGGCGCUCUCCGAGCACCGGCUAGACAACCCACCGUCUAAGGCUCCUGAGAACCAAAAUGGCAGUCAAUCUGACUUUCAUCAACUGAGCAGCCACAAACAUUAAGAGGAAGCUUCAGCAACUCAAAGGACUUAAAGAGAGACAUGCCAGCUCCAGACAGCUCCUCUACUUCCAAAGAAGACAGAUGGGCACAGAAGAUAUCUACUCAAAACUGGCUCAAAAGUGGCAGCCCUAUCCACUUGGAAAACCUGCCUUUCACCUCAACUACUGCCAAGACUCUCUUCAGAUGAAAAGCAGGGUUCCAUUUGGCUGACAGACACAUCCAGGCAUCAGCUGCUGAACACAGCCCAUGAGCUCAGCAAUUGCUAAAAGCUGACAUGGACCGAUCCAGCUGACAAGAACGCAGCUUCUCUCCAACUGGGUCAAAUCAGAUCCUCUUGCACACUGCCCACUAUUCCCUCUUUACCUUUGACUGGCCUUCCAGCUUCCUGGGCCCUGAACAUCUGCACACUGCCCACUAUUCCCCCUUACCUUUGACUGGCCUUCCAGCUUCCUGGGCCCUGAACAUCUACACCCCUUUUCAGCUUGAAGCAGUUACAGAAAAGAAUACAUCGUCCCUGUCCCCAAACUAGGCUGAAGAAAGGCCAAGUCAGAGACUUUAAUCAAAAACAAAUCAAAGAUUUGAUUCAAGUUACAAAUCCAAGGAGGGAAUGAAGGGUCCAAGAAUAAAAAUAUAAAAAUGUAGAUUCCAAAAAUAAGAAUGUAGAAAUAAAGAAAUAUAAAGUCUAGGAGAAUGAGAACAAACUGUCAGCAGCUUUCUCUGCAGCUUCAGGAUGACCUAUUAACAGUGGGUUAUUUCGCUUUACAACCCAUAGCUCUACUUACAAGGCCAUAGCAUCUCUGCACACUGAGAGCUAGCCUACAGGUAUGAGCUGAGUCAACUUUUAGGAGAUAGAUACAUGACCUCUGGGUUAUGCACUAUCCCUGCUCUGUGAAACUGGCAGCAUCAAAGGGGAGAGCACAGGGCUUCAGUAAACACCACCUAAAAGUACCAGGAAGACAACAGAUUAAGUCCAAACACUAGUUUAACUGAAAACUCUGUUAAUGGAGAUUGUAAAGUAAGGCAAUCUGUAUCUGAGUUUUACCUCAAAAUUCCUUUGUUUAGAUCUAAUGCUUGGUGCCCCUACUAUAAAAAGGUGGGUUCAGAAACCGGCUUUUUGCCACAAGCCUAACA